CCUACGGGCGGCAGCAGUGGGGAAUAUUGGACAAUGGGCGCAAGCCUGAUCCAGCCAUGCCGCGUGGAUGAUGAAGGCCCUAGGGUUGUAAAGUCCUUUCGGCGGGGAAGAUAAUGACGGUACCCGCAGAAGAAGCCCCGGCUAACUUCGUGCCAGCAGCCGCGGUAAUACGAAGGGGGCUAGCGUUGCUCGGAAUCACUGGGCGUAAAGCGCACGUAGGCGGACUCUUAAGUCGGUGGUGAAAUCCUGGAGCUCAACUCCAGAACUNCCUUCGAUACUGAGAGUCUCGAGUCCGAGAGAGGUGAGUGGAACUGCGAGUGUAGAGGUGAAAUUCGUAGAUAGUCGCAAGAACACCAGAGGCGAAGGCGGCUCACUGGCUCGGUACUGACGCUGAGGUGCGAAAGCGUGGGGAGCAAACAGGAUUAGAUACCCGUGUANUC
rnacentral:rRNA from 1 species